GCCGAAAUAGCUCAGUUGGGAGAGCGUCAGACUGAUGAUCUGAAGGUCCCUGGUUCAAUCCGGAGAGUUUGUA
rfam:Nematostella vectensis strain CH2 x CH6 NEMVEscaffold_4097_Cont47005, whole genome shotgun sequence.